ACUCCUACGGGAGGCAGCAGUGGGGAAUAUUGCACAAUGGGCGCAAGCCUGAUGCAGCCAUGCCGCGUGUGUGAAGAAGGCCUUCGGGUUGUAAAGCACUUUCAGUCGUGAGGAAGGUAGUGUAGUUAAUAGCUGCUAUUUAUUUGACGUUAGCGACAGAAGAAGCACCGGCUAACUCCGUGCCAGCAGCCGCGGUAAUACGGAGGGUGCGAGCGUUAAUCGGAAUUACUGGGCGUAAAGCGCAUGCAGGUGGUUUGUUAAGUCAGAUGUGAAAGCCCGGGGCUCAACCUCGGAAUAGCAUUUGAAACUGGCAGACUAGAGUACUGUAGAGGGGGUAGAAUUUCAGGUGUAGCGGUGAAAUGCGUAGAGAUCUGAAGGAAUACCGGUGGCGAAGGCGGCCCCCGUGGACAGAUACUGACACUCAGAUGCGAAAGCGU
rnacentral:rRNA from 1 species